rnacentral:rRNA from 1 species
GAUGAACGCUGGCGGCGUGCCUAAUACAUGCAAGUCGAGCGAACAGAUAAGGAGCUUGCUCCUUUGACGUUAGCGGCGGACGGGUGAGUAACACGUGGGUAACCUACCUAUAAGACUGGGAUAACUUCGGGAAACCGGAGCUAAUACCGGAUAAUAUUUCGAACCGCAUGGUUCGAUAGUGAAAGAUGGUUUUGCUAUCACUUAUAGAUGGACCCGCGCCGUAUUAGCUAGUUGGUAAGGUAACGGCUUACCAAGGCGACGAUACGUAGCCGACCUGAGAGGGUGAUCGGCCACACUGGAACUGAGACACGGUCCAGACUCCUACGGGAGGCAGCAGUAGGGAAUCUUCCGCAAUGGGCGAAAGCCUGACGGAGCAACGCCGCGUGAGUGAUGAAGGUCUUCGGAUCGUAAAACUCUGUUAUUAGGGAAGAACAUACGUGUAAGUAACUGUGCACGUCCUGACGGUACCUAAUCAGAAAGCCACGGCUAACUACGUG